UGCAUCUUUCUAUACCUUUUAGAUUUCAGGACAAGAAACCUUUUAUAUUCGGCUACUAUCACAAGCAUUGUCAUAUUUAUAUUUUGCAGUAUCUUCCUACAAGUAAAUCAAGGGAGACCAUCACAGAUAAAUAAAAAGGAGCAUUCAGUCAACGAUGAUGAUUCCAAUCAUGAAUCUCGAUGAGCGAAACAACAUUGUCUGCCAACAGCGGGAAAAUAAUAGCGAGGAAAAAAAAAACAAUCUUUAGUCCCUUGGUUUGAAUAAAUAUGCACUGUUCAGUGAUCAA